rnacentral:tRNA from 2 species
GCGCGGGUGGCGAAACUGGUAGACGUACUACCUUGAGGUGGUAGCGCUCGCAAGAGCAUGGGAGUUCAAAUCUCCCCCCGCGCACCG